rnacentral:lncRNA from 1 species
GAAUAGCAAAGAAAAUAGAAAGGAAAUAUCAAAGAAAAUAGAAAGGAAUUACAAAGAAAAUAGAAAAGAAUAGCAAAGGAAAUGGAAAUGAAAUAGCAAAGAAAAUAGAAAGGAAUAGCAAAGAAAAUAGAAAGGAAAUAGCAAAGAAAAUAUCAAAGAAAAUGUAAAGGAGAUAUCAAAGAAAGUAUAAAGAAAUAGAAAAUAUAAGAGAAAAUAUGAAAAAAAUAUAAAAGGAAAUAGAAAAUAUAAAAGAGAAGAGAAAGAAAAUAGGAAAUAGAAAAUACAAAGAAAUAUCAAAGCCAAUAGCAAGCAAAUCCAAAGCAGGUUUUGUCUCUCUCUGGCAGUUCCUGCUGCUGAAACAGAAGCUGGGAAUUCCUCCUGAUGCCUGCAGCAGCAUUCCCGAGUUCCUGCACUGCUGGGGAGAGGCCCUGGAGCUGCAGCAGCUGCAACAGCUGCAGCAGCAGCAGCCCUGAGGCACCAGGGGCAGCUGCAGCUCCCUGGGAUGCAGAAAAAUGGGAGCAAAUCCUUCUGUGGGGGUUUGCUGCCAGCAGGAUGGAGCAGCAGCAGCCCUGAGGAGUGUCCUGGAGGGAGCUGGGCUGGGAGAUCCAGGUGGGAAUUGCAGGGUUGGCAUUCCCAGCCCUGGAGCUGUUUGAGGAUUCUGGGGCUGUUUGGGGAUUCAGGAACGAGCUCUUCCCACACAGCUCUGGGAAUCCCUGCUUGGGGUGGCUCUGCAACACCCAGGGUGGCCAAGGGUUGGAUUUUUGGGAGCAGUUCCCCGUCUCUGCUGUGCAGCUGGGGAGGGAGGGCCCAUCCCCCUGAUCCUUGGGAUGAUUCCUGCUCAUUCCUGCUUUUCCUCUGCCUCUGGAAUUGUCUCCCAGGGCAGAGGCAGGAAAGGAGCUGGUGCUGUGUCAAUUCCUUCAGCUCAGGGACAUUCCAGGUCCCUCCCAAAGGGACUUCCCACGUGGUGCUGUGCCUCCCUGCCCUGAGCCCUCUGUGCACACUGCAGAUCUGGAUCCUUCUGCUCUGGAAUUGUUUUUAUUUUUUUGGGAAUUAAAAAAAAAAAAAAACCAACCAAACAACUUUUCCUGAUGCUGAGCCUGUUCCUGCCUGGCUCCCUGAUUUCUCUGAGGGUGUUGGACGUGGCCACAACUUCUGCUGCUGCCUUUGCAUCCAUGGAAACUGGGCUGGGCUCAGCAGGGAGGGGUUGGGGUGCCCAGGAGGGUUUGGGAUCCUCAGGAGGGUGCCCAGGAGGGUUUGGGGUGCCCAGGAGGGUUUGGGGUAGGUGGUUUUGUGGUGCUCAGGAGGGUUUUGGGUGCUCAGAAGGGUUUGGGGUACCCAGGAGGGGUUGGGGUGCUCGGAAGGGUUUGGGGUGCUCCGGAGGCUGCCCAGGAGGGUUUGGGGUGGCUGGAAGCGUUUGGGCUCAGUGAGGGGCUGGUUGAAGGCUCUUGGGGUGGUCAGAAAGGUUUGGGGUGCCCAGGAGGAUGCACAGGAGGGUUUGGGGUGCCCAAGGAAUGCAUAGGAGAGUUUGGGGUGCCCAGGAGGGUUUGGGGUAGGUGGUUUUGUGGUGCUCAGGAGGGUUUUGGGUGCUCAGAAGGGUUUGGGGUGCUCCGGAGGCUGCCCAGGAGGGUUUGGGGUGGCUGGAAGCGUUUGGGCUCAGUGAGGGGCUGGUUGAAGGCUCUUGGGGUGGUCAGAAGGGUUUGGGCUAAUCCAAAAUCCAUCAGUGCCAGGAGGUGACACAGGAUAAUUUAUUAACCAUUUCUUACCCGUGCUGAAGAAAACAAUUGAAUCCCUGUGGUCUUCAAAGAGCCCCCCAGAAAAACCCUUAAGGCACAAAAUUGGCUGUUCCUGCAGCGGGGCACUCAGGGGGUGCAAUCCCAAAAAGGUUUGGCCAUGCCAAAACUCCUUCCUGGGUGAGGCUGAGCCAGGAGCCCUGGAGCAGCUCCUGGUGCCCUGGAGCAUCUCCUGGAGCAUCUCCUGGAUCAGCUCCGGGUGCCCUGGAUCAGCUCCGGGUGCCCUGGAUCAGCUCUGGGUGCCCUGGAGCAGAUCCUGGACCAGCUUCUGCUGCUCUGGAUCAGCUCCUGGACCAGCUCCUGGUGCCCUGGAUCAGCUCCUGGACCAGCUCCUGGUGCCUUGGAGCAGCUCCUGGACCAGCUACUGGUGCCCUGGAUCAGCUCUGGGUGCCCUGGAUCAGCUCCUGGAUCAUCUCCUGGUGCCCUGGAUCAGCUCCUGGUGCCCUGGAUCAUCUCCUGGAUCAGCUCUGGAUCAGCUCCUGGUGUCCUGGAUCAGCUCCUGGACCAGCCCCUGCUGCUCCCUCAGCCCCAGCCAGGCACAGGGACACUCCCAGCACGGUGAGCAGCAUUCCUGCCACAGCUCCUGUGGGGGAGAAGAAACAAAUCCGUGACAAAUAAAUGGGAAUAAACUGGGAAUCUGCCUCCA